rnacentral:rRNA from 1 species
GUGCCAGCCGCCGCGGUAAUACCAGCCCCGCGAGUGGUCGGGACUCUUGCUGGGCCUAAAGCGCCCGUAGCCGGCCCGGUAAGUCCCUCCUUAAAGCCCCGGGCUCAACCCGGGGAGCGGGGGUGAUACUGCCGGGCUAGGGGGCGGGAGAGGCCGGGGGUACCCCAGGGGUAGGGGCGAAAUCCGAUAAUCCCUGGGGGACCACCAGUGGCGAAGGCGCCCGGCUGGAACGCGCCCGACGGUGAGGGGCGAAAGCCGGGGGAGCGAACCGGAUUAGAUACCCGGGUAGUCCCGGCUGUAAACUAUGCGGGCCAGGUGUCGGGCGGGCGUUAGAGCCCGCCCGGUGCCGCAGGGAAGCCGUUAAGCCCGCCGCCUGGGGAGUACGGCCGCAAGGCUGAAACUUAAAGGAAUUGGCGGGGGGGCACACAAGGGGUGGAACCUGCGGCUCAAUUGGAGUCAACACCUGGAAGCUUACCGGGGGAGACCGCAGGAUGACGGCCAGGCUAACGACCUUGCCUGACUCGCGGAGAGGAGGUGCAUGGCCGUCGCCAGUUCGUGUUGUGAAAUGUCCGGUUAAGUCCGGCAACGAGCGGGACCCCCACCCCUAGUUGCUACUCGAUCCUUCGGGAUCGGGGGCACACUAGGGGGACUGCCGCCGUAAGGCGGAGGAAGGAGGGGGCCACGGCAGGUCAGUAUGCCCCGAAACCCCGGGGCUGCACGCGAGCUGCAAUGGCGGGGACAGCGGGAUCCGACCCCGAAAGGGGAAGGUAAUCCCGUAAACCCCGCCCCAGUAGGGAUCGAGGGCUGUAACUCGCCCUCGUGAACGUGGAAUCCCUAGUAACCGCGUGUCACCAACGCGCGGUGAAUGCGUCCCUGCCCCUUGCACACACCGCCCGUC